UACGUAGGUGGCAAGCGUUGUUCGGAAUUAUUGGGCGUAAAGGGCGCGUAGGCGGCAUGUUAAGUCGGCUGUGAAAUCCUGGAGCUCAACCCCAGAAUUGCCUUUGAUACUGGCGAUCUUGAGUCCGGAAGAGGUUAGUGGAAUUCCCAGUGUAGAGGUGAAAUUCGUAGAUAUUGGGAGGAACACCAGUGGCGAAGGCGGUCCCCUGGGCCGGAACUGACGCUGAGGCGCGAAAGCGUGGGGAGCAAACAGG
rnacentral:rRNA from 1 species